rnacentral:rRNA from 1 species
AGUGAACGCUGGCGGCGUGCUUAACACAUGCAAGUCGAACGAGAACGGAAUAUAGCUUGCUAUAUUUGUCAGCUAAGUGGCGCACGGGUGAGUAAUGUAUAGAUAACCUGCCCUUAAGAAAGGAAUAACAGUUGGAAACGACUGCUAAUGCCCUAUAUGCCUUUAAUACAUAAGUAUGCAAGGGAAACGCUUUAGUGCUUAAGGAUGGGUCUGUAUGGUAUCAGCUUGUUGGUGAGGUAAUGGCUCACCAAGGCUAUGACGCCUAACUGGUUUGAGAGGAUGAUCAGUCGCACUGGAACUGAGACACGGUCCAGACUCCUACGGGAGGCAGCAGUGGGGAAUAUUGCACAAUGGACGAAAGUCUGAUGCAGCAACGCCGCGUGGAGGAUGACACAUUUCGGUGCGUAAACUCCUUUUAUAUAGGAAGAUAAUGACGGUACUAUAUGAAUAAGCACCGGCUAACUCUGUGCCAGCCGCCGCCGUAAUAC